GAUGAACGCUGGCGGCGUGCCUAAUACAUGCAAGUCGAGCGAACAGACGAGGAGCUUGCUCCUUCGACGUUAGCGGCGGACGGGUGAGUAACACGUAGGUAACCUACCUAUAAGACUGGGAUAAUUUCGGGAAACCGGAGCUAAUACCGGAUAAUAUUUCGAACCGCAUGGUUCGAUAGUGAAAGACGGCUUUGCUAUCACUUAUAGAUGGACCUGCGCCGUAUUAGCUAGUUGGUAAGGUAACGGCUUACCAAGGCAACGAUACGUAGCCGACCUGAGAGGGUGCUCGGCCACACUGGAACUGAGACACGGUCCAGACUCCUACGGGAGGCAGCAGUAGGGAAUCUUCCGCAAUAGGCGAAAGCCUGACGGAGCAGCGCCGCGUGAGUGAUGAAGGUCUUCGGAUCGUAAAGCUCUGUUAUUAGGGAAGAACAAACGUGUAAGUAACUGUGCACGUCUUGACGGUACCUAAUCAGAAAGCCACGGCUAACUACGUG
rnacentral:rRNA from 1 species